AGCGGGUAACUAACCGGAAGAAAAGAAUGCUAUCGUCAAUGAAUCAGUGACUUUAACCAUUAUUUCUGGUUCUGUGCUCUCUCUCUCUCUCUCUCUCUCUCUCUCUCAAUCAAUAGCUUUGGGGUAACACAGAACAACCAGGGGUGGGUGGUCCGGCUGAAUUCAAGCUAUGAUGCACUAUUAUAUGGUAGUAUCGCUGCCGGCAAUCUUGUUGCUGUUGAUCUUGAUUUUGGCAUGCUACCUCUUCGGAAGAGCAAGGGGCCGGACGGAAGCGGCCAGAGUUCCCCAGUAUUACGGGCCUCCGGCGCCGCCGUAUGGGACUCAACCUCCUCAUCCUCUUGAGAAAUAGAGACAGGUUGGAUCAUAACGCAAACGUAUUAUUAGUUAAGAGGUAAUUUUCGUAAAUUUUAUCUAGGUAAGUAGUAACAUAGUCGAUGACUUAUUUUGUUUUGAGUAUCGAAUGUGAGAACAAGUCGUCAGUGGCAUGAAUUAAUACCUUUGGUACAGACAUACAUACAUAUAUACAUGAAUACUGUCCUCUUGUGGCA